AUUUCCUGGGUGUCUUGUUAAAAUUCAGAUUCCGAUUCAGUCAAUCUGGGUUGGGGUGUGAGAUUCUGAAUUUCUAACAAGCUCCCAGGUGUUGCCAA
rnacentral:pre_miRNA from 1 species